UUGGCUAAGAUCAAGUGUAGUAUCUGU
rnacentral:piRNA from 6 species